rnacentral:piRNA from 1 species
UGGCAGGAGGAGUAGCAGCAUCGGCAGG